rnacentral:tRNA from 1 species
GUGAUGUAGUGGUAGCGCUCCCGUCUGGCAAACGGGAGUUAUAGGUUCGAAUUCUAUC